GAACCGAGCGAACGUUGUUCGGAAUCACUGGGCUUAAAGGGCGCGUAGGCGGGCUGUCAAGUCUGGGGUGAAAUCCCGCGGCUCAACCGUGGAACUGCCUCAGAUACUGACGGCCUCGAGGGAGGUAGGGGCGAGCGGAACGGGUGGUGGAGCGGUGAAAUGCGUUGAUAUCACUCGGAACUCCGGUGGCGAAAGCGGCUCGCUGGACCUUUUCUGACGCUGAGGCGCGAAAGCUAGGGGAGCAAACGGGAUUAGAUACCCCGGUAGUCCUAGCCCUAAACGAUGGGUACUGGGUAGUAGACUAGACAUGGGUUUACUGCCGCAGCAAAAGUGCUAAGUACCCCGCCUGGGGAGUAUGGUCGCAAGGCUGAA
rnacentral:rRNA from 1 species